GACGAACGCUGGCGGCGUGCUUAACACAUGCAAGUCGAACGGAAAGGCCCUGCUUUUGUGGGGUGCUCGAGUGGCGAACGGGUGAGUAACACGUGAGUAACCUGCCCUUGACUUUGGGAUAACUUCAGGAAACUGGGGCUAAUACCGGAUAGGAGCUCCUGCUGCAUGGUGGGGGUUGGAAAGUUUCGGCGGUCGGGGAUGGACUCGCGGCUUAUCAGCUUGUUGGUGGGGUAGUGGCUUACCAAGGCUUUGACGGGUAGCCGGCCUGAGAGGGUGACCGGCCACAUUGGGACUGAGAUACGGCGCAGACUCCUACGGGAGGCAGCAGUGGGGAAUAUUGCACAAUGGGCGGAAGCCUGAUGCAGCAACGCCGCGUGCGGGAUGACGGCCUUCGGGUUGUAAACCGCUUUCGCCUGUGACGAAGCGUGAGUGACGGUAAUGGGUAAAGAAGCACCGGCUAACUACGUG
rnacentral:rRNA from 1 species